rnacentral:tRNA from 1 species
UGCGACUUAUUUCAAUGGAAGAAAUCUACUGUUACAAAGUAGAAGUUAACAGUUCGAAUCUGUUAGUCGCAACAA